rnacentral:antisense_RNA from 1 species
AACCUGUGGGAGAACGGGGCGGAGCUAAGCCAAAGGGAGGGCGGGAGAAAGGAAGCGGCAGCAGGCGCCUCUUCGCAACUCUAACCCUCUGGUAGAGAUCGCCAAGAUUGGUAUCCAUAGAGCUUGCUGUGGUCUGAAUGUAUCUCCCAAAUUUCAUGUGUUGGAAACUUUAUUCUUAAUGCAAAAGUGUUAAGAGAUCCCGGAGAGCUUGUCCACUGCAACGGUGCAACAUGCUAAGGGCUAUGUGGCGGCACAGGGGCUCUGAGCUCCUGACAUGAGUCAUGUGGACCUGAGGCUGACACCCAGCCCUAUACCUACAAGCUGGGCGAGACCCCUUGCAGUUGCCUACACCCCUGCUGAGACCCAGUACCUCCCUGUAAAAUGGGGGAAAUAAUGCCUGCCUCACACGGUUUCAGUGAAGGGUGAGUGAAAUAAGGAAACAUCUGGAAACCCCCUGGGGGAGAUCUGCCACGUGGCCUCCAGUGAACUGUAGACUCCUGCAUAGCCUUCCAAAGUUCUUCAUUUGGUGAAUAUUAUGAGAAAUGACAUGUAUGACUUUCUCCCAAAUACAUGGCUUGAACCCAAAGUACAGUGAAAUCAGAACUGACCACACAGAGUAAUUGGGGAAAGGGAGUUAUUUGUGACACAAAGCCCUCAUCACUUUGUAAAAGUACUUGCUACUGAUUACAUUGAAAACCAGUCUUCCUGAGUAAAACAUGUUUUUUGUUUUGUAUUGUUUUUGUUUUUGUUUUUCUGA